AGUCCACUUCGCCCGCCGGCCGGCGCACUCAUCAGUUACUCUCGCAACCCGACGACCGCCACCGCCCCCUCCCCCUCCCCGUCGCGCUCUCUCCCCGGGUGGGAGGCUUCCCGACCGGCGGCGACCGCCCAUGGGCCCCGUCCGGCUCGCCCUCCUCCUCCUCGCCGCCGCCGCCGCCGUCCUGCUCGGCGGCGGCGAGGCGGUGUACAUCCCCUACAACACGUCGGCGGGGGUGGUCAACGGGAAGCUGAACGUGCACGUGGUCCCCCACACCCACGACGACGUCGGCUGGCUCAAGACCGUCGACCAGUACUACGUCGGAUCCAACAACUCCAUCCAGAAUGCCUGCGUCCAGAACGUGCUGGAUUCGCUCGUGCCGGCGCUGCUCAAGGACGAGAACCGCAAGUUCAUCUACGUCGAGCAGGCGUUUUUCCAGAGAUGGUGGAGGCAGCAGAGCGACAUGAUCAAGGAUACGGUGAAGGGGCUCGUCAGCUCCGGACGGUUGGAGUUCAUAAAUGGGGGUAUGUGCAUGCACGACGAGGCGACUGUGCACUACAUUGACAUGAUCGAUCAGACUACGCUGGGGCACAGGUUCAUCAAGGAGGAGUUUGGUCAGAUUCCGAGGAUUGGUUGGCAGAUCGAUCCGUUUGGGCACUCUGCGGUUCAGGCUUACCUGCUCGGUGCAGAGGUAGGAUUUGAUGCCUUAUAUUUUUUCCGGAUUGAUUACCAAGAUCGUGACACGAGGAAUGUGACAAAAGAACUCGAGGUUGUAUGGAGGGGCUCCAAGACCUUCGGCUCAUCAGCUGAUAUUUUUGCUGGCAUCUUCCCAAAAAAUUAUGAACCACCACCUGGUGAGUUUUAUUUUGAAGUCGAUGAUACUUCCCCUGUUGUCCAGGAUGAUCCCCUUCUUUUUGAUUACAAUGUUGAACAACGGGUGAAUGAUUUUGUUGCUGCAGCGCUGGCACAGGCAAAUGUUACAAGGACAAACCAUAUCAUGUUUACAAUGGGAACAGACUUCAAAUAUCAAUACGCAGAAAGUUGGUUCAGACAGAUGGACAAAUUAAUUCAUUAUGUGAACAAGGAUGGCCGUGUGAAUGCCCUGUACUCUACUCCUUCCAUUUACACUGAUGCGAAAUUUUCUGCAAAUGAGCCAUGGCCUCUUAAGACAAACGAUUUCUUUCCAUAUGCAGAUAACCCCAAUGCAUACUGGACAGGUUACUUCACAAGCAGACCCGCCUUAAAACGAUAUGUCCGCAUGAUGAGUGGAUAUUACUUGGCAGCUAGGCAGCUGGAGUUCUUCAUUGGAAGAAGCAAGUCAGGUUCCACAACAGAUAGCUUAGGAGAUGCCCUAGCUCUUGCUCAGCAUCAUGAUGCUGUUACAGGAACAGAGAAGCAACACGUUGCAAAUGAUUAUGCGAAGAGAUUAUCGAUUGGCUAUAAGAAAGCGGAGGAACUGGUUUCCACUUCUCUCGGUUGCUUGAGUGAGUCAGACUCAAAUUCUCGUUGUUCGUCCCCAACGACAAAGUUUGGGCAGUGUCCUCUCCUGAACAUUACUUAUUGUCCCCCUUCCGAGAUGAACUUAUCUCAAGGAAAAAGCUUGGUUGUUCUUGUGUACAACUCUCUUGGAUGGAAACGAGAGGAUGUCCUCCGCAUACCAGUCAUGAGUGACUCAAUUGUUGUCCAUGAUUCUGAGGGAAGAGAAAUUGAAUCGCAACUUCUGCCUAUAGCUAAUGCCUCAUCGCACCUACGGGACAGACAUGUCAAGGCUUACUUGGGCACAUCGCCUGCCGCAAGUCCUAAGUUUUGGGUUGCUUUUCCUGCUUCGGUACCACCACUUGGUUUUAGCACUUAUUUUAUCUCGAGCGGAAAGAGAUCAGCAUCUAUCUCUUCGACAUCCACUCUAAACUCUCAGGGAAGUGAAAGUAGGAAUCUGCAAGUUGGGCAAGGGCAUUUGAAACUUCAAUAUGAUGCAGCUGGAGCAUUAUCACAGUACUCCGAUAGCAAGACUCAGGUUGAAGCAAAUUUCGAGCAGAAGUACAAGUAUUACAUAGGACAAGAUGGAGGCGGAGAUGAUCCUCAGGCUUCUGGAGCGUACAUAUUUCGCCCUAAGGACGUUGUUCCUAUCAAAACUGAUGGUCAGGUUCCUCCCAUGAUUCUGCGUGGGCCCAUAUUGGAUGAAGUGCAUCAGCAGAUUAAUCCAUGGAUAUAUCAGAUAACUAGAGUUUACAAGGGAAAGGACUAUAUGGAAACCGAGUUCAUAGUUGGACCAAUACCAAUCGACGAUGAAAAUGGAAAAGAACUUUCAACUGAAAUCAUUACAAGCAUGGCAACAAACAAAACAUUUUACAUUGAUUCCAGUGGGCGUGAUUUCAUCAAAAGGGUACGGGAUUAUCGCUCGGAGUGGAAGAUUCAAGUAAACCAACCUGUUGCUGGAAACUAUUAUCCUAUUAAUCUUGGCAUUUAUGUGGAAGAUGGCAGCAAAGAGUUAUCUAUACUUGUAGACAGGUCUGUUGGAGGUUCGAGCAUAAAGGAUGGACAAAUAGAGAUAAUGCUACACAGGAGGCUACUCAAUGAUGAUGGUCGUGGUGUUGCGGAAGCUCUAGAGGAAAAAGUCUGUUUGGAUGAUCAAUGUGAAGGACUAGUUAUCCAAGGAAAAUACUAUCUCAAAAUUGACCCACAAGGUGACGGAGCUAGGUGGCGUCGUACAUUUGGUCAGGAACUGUACUCUCCUCUUCUUCUUGCGUUUGCAGAAAAGGACGGAGGCAACUGGGCGAAUUCACAUGUUUCAUCAUUCUCUGCAAUGGAUCCAACUUACAGCCUUCCUGAAAAUGUCGCGUUGCUUACUCUUGAGGAACUCGAAGAUGGAAGUGUUCUCCUUCGGUUGGCUCACCUAUACGAGGCUGGAGAGCAUAAGGAUCUCUCGGCUCCGGCGAGUGUCGACCUCAAGAGGGUAUUCCCAGAUAAAAAGAUCGGCAAGAUAAUCGAAACAAGCCUAUCAGCGAACCAAGAGCGCGCCGCCAUGGAGAAGAAGAGGCUGAAGUGGAAGGUGGCUGGGCCUCCCCCAAAAGAAAAUGUGGUCAAAUUCAUGAUUGAUGGUGAUUUCAUGCCUGUCCGAGGGAAAACCGUUAGAUACACCAUAAAAGAGAAUUAUCCCGGCAAAUUCUUGCCAGAACUUACCUUUACACAAGUUGAGAAAUUGAGAGCAUUGUUCCGUCCAAUUACUUCACUGCCAGUGCCAGAUGCACCACCCCUGCAUUAUGUUGACAACAGUCAUCCCGCUCCAUCUGCUCCUUUUCUGCCUCCUUCGGCUUCAUCUUCAGACCCAACACAGCCAUCUGCUUAUGUGCCUCACCCAAGCGCCUGUGUUCUCACUCCAGAUGCUCAGCUGGUGCCAAAUGAACCUUAUGCAUGCCCAGAUUCUCACCUUCCUGCUCCAACUGCUCAAUUCGCCGCGCCUGCUUACUAUGUGACCACAACUGCACAUCCGUAUCAAGCAUAUGGUGCAUCGCCUGCCACCUACCACUACGCCCAAGCGCCUCCUUUGCAACUUGUCUAUGUGCAAGCCCAACGCCCUGUGCCAGAACAUGUUACAGACCCUGCCUGUUCCUCUGAUCCCAACUAUGAUGCUAAUGGGAAUGAUCCGUAUCUAUUUGAUGCUGUGAAGUCUCAUUACCAGGAAACUACUUCUGGGAGAGCUGCUGCACCACAUGAAGUGGCCGCGACGAACCUGCAACUUGUCAUGCACUAUGGGUACGCCCCAGGCAGUGAGGGUGCAACCGGUGAAACUACGCAGUCCAGUGCUGAAGGAGCCGCAUCGGCGAUCUACUCCCAUGCGGGUGCCCCAGCAACGCCAUCGCACCUGCACCACAUGACGUGGCCGUGACAAACCUGCAACUUGUCAUGCACUAUGGGUACGCCCCAGGCAGCUAUGGUGCAACCGAAGAAACUACGCAGUCCAGUGCUGAAGGAGCUGCAUCAGUGAUCUACUCCCAUGCGGGUGCCCCAGUGACCACUCAGGCUGCGCCAUCGGUGUAUGCCGUGGCAGCUGCACCGGCUAACCUGUGAUUGCCCUGUCACCAUUCAGUCUUUCUGGCAACAUGGUCAAUCCUAACCAAGUGAGCUGUUGCUCUGCCCUGUCGUGGUUCACCAUUCUACCCACAUAGGGGACUGGGAGUUCGGAUCGGUGAAAGAGGACAUCGCUCUCCUCUCUGCUGAUGUGUGACCAUUUCAACGUUCUUUUUGCCAACAUGAUCGAUCCGAAUCAAGAGCGCUGCUGCUCUGUGCCGGUGUGCUUUGCCAUUCUUUCUACCAAGAGACUGGGAUUUCAGAUCGGUGAAAGAUGGCAUUGCUCUCGUUUUUGCUGAUGUGUUUGGUUGGUAUGAUGUGUAGAUGGAUUCAGCUACUGCUGCUCUUUGGUUUGUUAGACACUAACUGCUACUCCCUCCUUCCCCUAAUAUAAGAGGUUUUUGACAUGAGACGGGGACAGUACCUGUUGGUGUCGAGUUUAGAGUGGUAUAAGGUGAUGUAACUAUUGUGAGACCAACUCUACCACAAUCCCUGUAUGGAUCCGUAUACCAAGAAA